AUUGAACGCUGGCGGCAGGCCUAACACAUGCAAGUCGAACGCGUGGCGGACGGGUGAGUAAUGUCUGGGAAACUGCCUGAUGGAGGGGGAUAACUACUGGAAACGGUAGCUACUACCGCAUACCAUCGGAUGUGCCCAGAUGGGAUUAGCUAGUAGGGGGGGUAACGGCUCACCUAGGCGACGAUCCCUAGCUGGUCUGAGAGGAUGACGAGCCACACUGGAACGGAGACACGGUCCAGACUCCGACGGGAGGCAGCAGUGGGGAAUAUUGCACAAUGGGCGCAAGCCUGAUGCAGCCAUGCGGCGUGUAUGAAGAAGGCCUUCGGGUUGUAAAGUACGUUCAGCGGGGAGGCGUUACCCGCAGAAGAAGCACCGGCUAACUCCGUGCCAGCAGCCGCGGUAAUUC
rnacentral:rRNA from 1 species